rnacentral:misc_RNA from 1 species
AAAGUCAAAUAGCACGUGAAAUUGUUGAAAGGGAAACGAUUGAAGUCAGUCAUACCGAUGGACAUUCAGCCACUCGGACGUGAUUAUGGUGGAAGUGGGUAGAACUCACCCUGUCAUAUUCGUGAACUUGCGGUGUAAUUGUUCGUAUGGGUAGGUUAACAUCAAUUCUGGGCAUCAUAAAAUGACGGGAGGAAUGUAGCUUUAAUUUUUUGAAGUGUUUAUAGCCUCUGGUAGAUGUGAUGACCGGGAUUGAGGAUUGCAACGAAUGCCUCUGGCUACUCGUCUGAUCUCUGAUUGUCGCUCUGGUGGCGAAAGCUUGCUUACGGUAUCAGAGUUUGGGGGUCUAAAGGUUAGAACGAGUUAAAUUCGUUAAGGAUGUUGACGUAAUGGCUUUAAACGA